UGAGCCAGUGAAGUCCUUUGUAGUGUGU
rnacentral:piRNA from 1 species